rnacentral:tRNA from 1 species
GCAUUGGCGGUUCAAUGGUAGAAUUUUUGCCUUCCAUGCUAGAAGCCCAAGUUUAAUUCCUGGCCAAUGCA